CCCCUCUUCUGACAACCCUGCCACAGGCCACGGCGGGGCAGAGGGAAGGGGAUCUGAGCCAGCUGAGAGGCCUCAGCGCCUCACACCAGGUCUCCUCUCCCCCAGCCACAGGGCAGCCUGGAGCAGGGGCCGGAUCGGAGUCUGGGCUAAUGUCUGCUGAGUCGGAAGAGAGCCAGGUCCCACUGUGGGCCUGCAGCUCGGCUGGCCGCCUGCCCCAGUCCUGCCUGUGGGCAAGGUCACUGCACAGCCAGUUCCCGUGCUUACCCUGGAGCUUCCAGGAGUUAAGUGUUGGCUCCUCAGGCCGAGGCCCCUUGCACCUGGGAACCCGCACCUGCUUGCCUUGGAGACGGCCCUGGUCCCAGCCCAGCCCCAGACAGAGGUCUCCUGGAACCUUCGGAAUCUCUGCCCUCCACAUUCCGCGCCGGGGUUCCGACUCUGUGAGUCACGCUGCCUGGCCCAGGUCCCGGCUGGCUCUUCACACCCAGCGGGCGUCUAUGGGCUCAGGCCCAGGUCUCCUGCAAGCUCUCCACCCUGCGGACCCAGCACACCGUGCAGGGCCCUGAGCUUGGGCCUUCCGUGGGAUGAACUCUCUCGGACCAGCUGCACAGGCCGGGAAGUUGAAGCUGCCUGCUGCCUUUCUCCCCAUGGCUGCUUCAGAGCCUCCCUGCCUCCUCCUCCCAGGGCCGGAAGCCAGCAGGACUUGCUGAUGUGCAAAACUGAGAGACAGUUAAGAAAAUAUAGAUCAGUAUAAGCAACUCAAUAACGUUCUCCGGAAGUGGCUGCGGGACAGGACUGUUGGUAUAGGGCACAAACACUGCCAGUCAUGCUGAUGCGAACAGUUAAGCGUUUGUGCUCAAGUCGCUUCUCAUAAAGCUAAAGUGUGUGUGCCCUACGCACUGUGCCCCUGGAGGCUUCUCCUGAAGAAAUGAAAACUUACAUUCUUGCAGCACAUCCAUGCUGUUCACAAUGGUGAGAGAUUGGAAACAAACUAAAUACGCCCAACAGGUGACAGGAGGAGAAAGGGGAGAGCAUCCAAGCCACAGAACACCUGGGACUCAGCAGGAAAAGGAGCAAGCUCCUGGUGCACACACCUGGUACAUGGGGAGAGGUGGUGCUGAGUGCAGAAGCUGACUCCACAGGCAGAGGACUAGUGCACGAACAGCCUUGGGGGACCAGCCACAGAUAGAGGGCACAGAGCUGCCGGUCAGCGGUCAUGGGACAGUGAGGUGGCCUGAGGCUGGAACUGCGCUGGAGGUAACUGGUGUGGCCCUCGUGGGAGUGGACAGGUACAGCGGAAUCACACAGAACUGAGUACCCACGGGGACCUGGUGACGGCAGACAA